GCAGUGGUGGUUCAGUGGUAGAAUUCUCACCUUUUGUGCAAGAGACCUGGGUUCGAUUCCUGGCCAGUGCA
rfam:Loxodonta africana unplaced genomic scaffold scaffold_7, whole genome shotgun sequence.